rnacentral:rRNA from 1 species
UACGGGAGGCAGCAGUGGGGAAUAUUGCACAAUGGGCGCAAGCCUGAUGCAGCCAUGCCGCGUGUAUGAAGAAGGCCUUCGGGUUGUAAAGUACUUUCAGUCGUGAGGAAGGUGUUAAGGUUAAUAACCUUAGCAAUUGACGUUAGCGACAGAAGAAGCACCGGCUAACUCCGUGCCAGCAGCCGCGGUAAUACGGAGGGUGCGAGCGUUAAUCGGAAUUACUGGGCGUUAAAGGGCACGCAGGCGGUUAAUUAAGUUGGAUGUGAAAUCCCCGGGCUUAACCUGGGAAUGGCAUUCAAGACUGGUUAGCUAGAGUCUUGUAGAGGGGGUAGAAUUCCAUGUGUAGCGGUGAAAUGCGUAGAGAUGUGGAGGAAUACCGGGUGGCGAAGGCGGCCCCUGGGACAAGGACUGACGCUCAUGUGCGAAAGCGUGGGGAGCAAACAGGAUUAGAUACC